UAGGGAAUCUUCCGCAAUGGACGAAAGUCUGACGGAGCAACGCCGCGUGAGCGAAGAAGGAUUUCGGUUCGUAAAACUCUGUUGUUAGGGAAGAAAAAAUGUAUAGUAACUAUAUACAAAAGAGACGGUACCUAACCAGAAAGCCACGGCUAACUACGUGCCAGCAGCCGCGGUAAUACGUAGGUGGCAAGCGUUGUCCGGAAUUAUUGGGCGUAAAGCGCGCGCAGGUGGUUUAGAAAGUCUGAUGUGAAAGCCCACGGCUCAACCGUGGAGGGUCAUUGGAAACUAAUAAACUUGAGUGCAGGAGAGAAAAGUGGAAUUCCUAGUGUAGCGGUGAAAUGCGUAGAGAUUAGGAGGAACACCGGUGGCGAAAGCGGCUUUUUGGCCUGCAACUGACACUGAGGCGCGAAAGCGUGGGGAGCAAACAGG
rnacentral:rRNA from 1 species